rnacentral:rRNA from 1 species
AUUGAACGCUGGCGGCAGGCCUAACACAUGCAAGUCGAACGAGUGGCGGACGGGUGAGUAAUGUCUGGGAAACUGCCUGAUAGAGGGGGAUAACUACUGGAAACGGUAGCUAAUACCGCAUACCCUCAGAUGUGCCCAGAUGGGAUUAGCUUGUUGGGGGGUUAACGGCUCACCAAGGCGACGAUCCCUAGCUGGUCUGAGAGGAUGACCAGCCACACUGGGACUGAGACACGGUCCAGACUCCUACGGGAGGCAGCAGUGGGGAAUAUUGCACAAUGGGCGCAAGCCUGAGGCAGCCAUGCCGCGUGUAUGAAGAAGGCCUUCGGGUUGUAAAGUACGGUCAGCGGGGAGGCGUUACCCGCAGAAGAAGCACCGGCUAACUCCGUGCCAGCAGCCGCGGUAAUUC